CAUUGUUCUCGGGAAGAAAUCUGAUAUUCUCAAGUAGCCCUCGACACCUUCACUGGCUGCCUCCCUUUUCUUUCUCUGUUCUUGCCCACAGCCUCUGAGGACUAACUUCUAGAGAUUGGGAAAGCCACAUGGAGGAAGAGAGACAUACAAAGGAUUUUACAGGAAGUGUGAAUUCUGGUGAAUGGAUAUGGAAAAAAAGACAUUUUUGCUUGCACAAUUUGUGGAGAUGGGAGUAUAUAUAUAGCACUGGAGGAUGAAGAAGUCUGAGUACGUGGAAUAAAGGAUGCUUUACGGGGACUGUGGCAAGGAAAGUCUGGGUCAUCAUUAGUAGAAUCUGUUCUCAUUAUUAGUAGCACUAGAGUGAGGUU
rnacentral:lncRNA from 1 species